rnacentral:rRNA from 1 species
AACUCUUCUGAAGUUGACCUCGAAUCAGGUAGGAAUACCCGCUGAACUUAAGCAUAUCAAUAAGCGGAGGAAAAGAAACCAACAGGGAUUGCCCCAGUAACGGCGAGUGAAGCGGCAACAGCUCAAAUUUGAAAUCUGGCUCUCGGGCCCGAGUUGUAAUUUGUAGAGGAUGCUUUUGGUGAGGUGCCUUCCGAGUUCCCUGGAACGGGACGCCAUAGAGGGUGAGAGCCCCGUCUGGUUGGACGCCGAACCUCUGUAAAGCUCCUUCGACGAGUCGAGUAGUUUGGGAAUGCUGCUCUAAAUGGGAGGUAUAUGUCUUCUAAAGCUAAAUACCGGCCAGAGACCGAUAGCGCACAAGUAGAGUGAUCGAAAGAUGAAAAGAACUUUGAAAAGAGAGUUAAACAGUACGUGAAAUUGUUGAAAGGGAAGCGCUUGUGACCAGACUUGGGCUUGGUUGAUCAUCCGGGGUUCUCCCCGGUGCACUCUUCCGGCUCAGGCCAGCAUCAGUUCGCCCUGGGGGAUAAAGGCAUCGGGAACGUGGCUCUCUCCGGGGAGUGUUAUAGCCCGUUGCGUAAUACCCUGUGGCGGACUGAGGUUCGCGC